rnacentral:rRNA from 1 species
GACGAGGGAUCCUAGCGUUGCUCGGAAUUAUUGGGCGUAAAGCGGGUGUAGGUGGCUUGGUAAGUCGGGUGUGAAAGCCCAGGGCUCAACCCUGGAAGUGCAUUCGAUACUACUGAGCUUGGGUGCGAGAGAGGUUAAUAGAAUACCUGGUGUAGUGGUGAAAUACGUAGAUAUCAGGUGGAACACCGGAGGCGAAGGCGGUUAACUGGCUCGACACUGACACUGAGACCCGAAAGUGCGGGGAUCAAACAGG